UGCGAGGAGAGACCAAAUCCAUAUAUAUCCAACUGUUGACAGUUUCCUCCUAUUAAGUAAAACUGUCAUCCCAUAAUACGAGUGGCUUAAACCACUCCCUCAGAGUUCUAUUCCCAAUCAAGUUUGAUAUAAAUAGUUAUAUUAUUUAUCUCCUAAUACAUUUAUAAUUCUAUUUCUUAUUUAAUAUAAUAGAGAUGAAAUGAUGUGGCAAAACUGAGAUAAAUUGGAUGAAGUGAACAGAAGACUGUUGGAUAUACAGAAAUUACUGCAGCAGAGAGCUGGGGAAGGAGGGAGUGGCUUGGAGAAUUUGGUUUCCGGAAGUAGUACAGAAACCGCUCCGCCGGAGCAAACUGAAGGGAAUGGUGGGGAACAAGAAUGGACAAUGUGUUGUUGACGAAUACGAAACAUGAGACGUGGACGUGGUUUACUUCGUAUGGCAAAGACAGGUUUUGUUAAUGCUGAUGACAGAAAUCAACCCCAGUUCAAAAUGAAAAGAUAUGGUUAUUUUCGUUGUUGUAAGAACUGAGAACUCAGUACUCUUUCUCUAAGUUUCCCAUUUUUUAAAUUAAGAAACAUGGUUAGUUUUUUAUACCUAUUUUGUGAUGAUUCACUAAGAAUUGUUAAUCGUUUUAAUACAUGUGAGAUGGGAUUUCUACUUUUUCAAAUCCGUUUGCAUUUUUGUAAAUUACUUAAUUAGAUAGUCAAAUUUUCAUGUGUGUGUCGAUAUGUUAUCACGAUGGUUUAAUUAGAUGAUCAAAUCCGUUUGAUAUUUAUUCUUUUGCCCUAUUGUCGAUUUUGUUGUCUGCUUCAGGCUUGAUGUUUAUAUUCAUGACUAUUUGUUGAGGAGAAAAUUACUUUCGUCUGCAUAUGUGUUUAUAACAGAAGGGAAUGUUGCUACAGAUCCAGUACGUAAUUUUGCCAACCUUUGAUUCAUUCUCAACUCACUUAAUGAUUAUGUUUUUAGAAAAUCCAGCUUAGCAUGCGUCAACGAUUUUUUAUAAUUACUGUUUCGUUCCCCGGGAUGACAUGAUCUGAUUGUACGUUUUUUUUUUUUUUCUUUUUUAAGAUUUUUAAUGAAUAUUUUACAAUAUAUAUGGUGAGUAAGUACUAAAAACUUAAAACCCUUUUUUUUUUCUUUUUUUUUUUUUUAAUUCUUUCCACUUUUUGAAAUGAAGAAAUUAGGUUACUUUUUUUUUUGGUCAUUCACUGAAUGUGAUUAAGGCCUGGUUUGGUACU